GCAUCUGUAAACACCAGUGUCUGUUUCAUUUUGUAUUCUGAUACUGUGAGAACCUGAGGGAACUUUUUUUACUUAAUUGCAUAAAGUCAGCAUAAUCUCUGUACUCAAUUUUUAUUUCCUGUGUACAGCAACUGUGGCCUCCAACAAAGUGUUACCUGCAGCGCAAGUAAGUGGCCAUCAUGAGUUUGUAUGGCACCUGCAAUCCAUCAAAGCAACAAGACAAAACACACAGAAUAACAUCUAGAGAUAUCAUCCUGAUGUCACCAAUAUACUAGCUGAACCACAGAGAGCCAAAGGAAUAUCAAGAAUCUGCCAGAACCUCCCAAAUGAGGACAUCUAUGGCAUAUGAAGACAAGUUGAUGCCACUUUUUGAGCACUGUCCUGUAUGUCCAAGGAUGUGGACUGGGCAGUCACAUGUCAACAGAGUU